GUCAUCAGAUAUUGCAUAUCUAUAACUGCACCAGAUUAUAAAUGGUGUGACCUCUCCCAACAAUAACUGCACCAGAUUCUCAUUACUUGUAUAAAAUAAAAUAUUGCAUAUUUAUAAUAUAAAUCUCCUAUAAUUAUUCUACUUAAUUAAGAAUGUAAAUCCUUCUUGUUAUGGAAAUUCUGUAUUUCUAAUUAGCAGAUUUAUAUAUUCCUAAUUAAUAUAGAUUUUAUAUUCCUAAAUAGAUAUGAUCUGUAUUCCUAAUUAGUAGAUCUAUUAGUGUAGGAUUUAUAUUUCGAGAUAGGUAGGUUUUAUAUUCUUAAUUAGGUAGAGUAAUUAUGGGAGAUUUAUAUAUAUAAAUAUGU
rnacentral:misc_RNA from 1 species